CUUCCUCCUCAGAAAAGCCAGCUGAUCCAAAAGAAAGUCCAGUCUACUCUGAGGUGAAGACAGGGAAAGCCACAGCAGCUGGACCUGUUGAUGUGACCUAUGCUGAGGUUGACCUCCAAAAGAAGACCAAAGCCAAGAAGAAGAGAGAAACAACAACCCCAACAGAGGCAGAUUCAGUCUAUUCUCAACUGAAGCCAAGCACAACCCCAGGUAAGAUGCUAUUGAUACUUAUACGUAACCCUCUCACCACAGACUUGGACAGAUCAACAAGGGAAUCAUGGUGAAAAGGACAUCUCAGUGUAUAAACUUUUAUGAUUUUGACUCGCUAGUGGAAAAACAAGAGGUUAAGGAUAUUACUAAUCAAUAAAUAAAGGUUUAUAUUACUGUUUUCAGAAUGUUUUCCGAUGCAACAAAAUGAAUGACUCAUUGAAAAUACAAACACACACAGAAUGCAAUUUAACGUGAAUAUAUUUUUUAAUAAAACAUUAGCAGUUACACAAAUACCACACAA